AUAUGCAAGGGCCCUUAAAAAUUUUAUGAAGCGAAACAUCGUAGUAAUAAAUCUAAAACAUAAAUCAACUGAGAUGUUAAAGUAACGGUGAGUGAAACGAAGUAGCUCAAAAAUUAAAAAGGAGGGCUGAAUUACUUGGAAAAGUAAGCUACAGAGGGUGAUAGCCCCGUAAGCUUUU
rnacentral:rRNA from 4 species